CUCUGGCCCACCUGAGUUUGUGCCACAGCACCCCCAGGCCUUUUUCCUCUGGGUGCCUUUCCAGCCCUUCUGCCCCAGCCUGGAGCAAUUCAGGGGACAUUCUGGAAGAAUGUCCAGCUUUCCUGCGCAGUUGAAGCCUGUCCCAGCAUUUGCACAUUAAUUGUUAAUUGUGAAGCAGUUGAUGCAUCCUGGAGGUGUGGAAAGACAGAAACUCCAGGUUCUCCAUAUCCAACAGAUCCAAUGGCUGCAAACCUCAUUUCUGUUAAUGAAAACAUCCACAUUUGGGUUUUAGAAGGCUUUGAAAAUGUGGCUCUGACAUCAGCUCAGCUAUUUCAGACCUCAGGAUACUGGAGGGUUCUUCAGAAGAUUUUCCUGUCACCAGCUUUGACUUGUUUCAGGCUUUGCUGACUUGAGGCUGGCUCAAUGCAUUGAUAUAUACAUUGAAUUAAUAUUUUUUGUAAUUGCUUUGGAAUUCUAUUGCAUUUUCUUAAAUGAAUACUUCAGAAUUCCACAAGAGUAUAUUAAAAAUGUCUGUUACACCAGUAACUGCUCUGUUUGUUGGCAUAUAGAGCAAGCCAGAAGAUUUAACUGCUGUGUGCAGAAUGUUAGAUACAUAAUGAAAUACUAAAAAACUAGUUUUUUUCCUGGCUGUUCUUCCACUUGGAAGUGCUAGUGGACACUCAUGCUUAAUUGGAACUGGAAAGCAUCUUGCAAAUUGGGUUUUGGGUGUAGUUUGGUUGUUAAGUCAAGUUUGCCAAAUUAUUUAGUUGCAUUUUUUGCUAAAAUCUGGUGGUUUAGAAUGGGUUGGUUUGACUAAGUAAAAAAGUGUCCUAAAAAAAGAACAAAAGCAAACACAACCAAAGCUCAACAUUUCGUUGUUUUGGGGCAAAAUUGUCUAAAUGAGGGGCUUUUAGUGCCGCUGUCCUGAAGGAUCCCAGCACAGAGCUCCAGUUCCAGUACAUGUGGGACAUUUCCUCUCCCCACCAGCACUGCUGCAGGAGUGACACAAUGAUUGUUUGGCAGGAAAAAAUUGAUAACACUUUGUCAGCUCCUUGUUUUCUCUUUGGUAAUUCUUACUAGAACUUCUGGAGACAAAGAACUCAGUUUUUUUGUGAUCUGUUUUCCAGGAGCUUUACCAAGUGAGAGCUUUGUGUGCAUGAAGAAAGAACAUUGUGUAUCACUAAAUAAAGAUGCCAAUGACGCUGUUUUUGAGAGGAGCAACAAGUCCAACUUUGCAAGGACCAGAAGCGUUGCUGCUAUGACAACAAAAGGGACAACAACUGGGGUGGGAAUUUGUGUUGUCUCCUGCUCGUCCUGAAUGUUUGGUGAUGGGAGGCUCCAGUGUCCUGAGGGACAGGGAGGCACCACUGGCUGUCAGGUACCUUAUUCUUUGUAUCUUUGCACCUGACAGCUUUUUUAUUUCCUAGAGAUCAAGAUGUGUUCCUAAUAGCUGUAAUCCAAAAUUUGUUCUGUAGGUUUUGUGCAGCGGAACUGCACUAAAGUAUUUUUUUUCUGGAAAAGCAGAACAACUCUCAUCCUUACUUCAGCCAUGUGCUCAGUACUAAGCCUGUUUUGGAGAUUUCAGGUCCCAGUCCUUAAAGGAAAUAAGAGAUGCCCUGCUCUGUCCAGUCCCUAGAGAUGUCAGGUGUUGACUGCGAGUUUGUCAGAAGAAAAUCAUCAUGUUGUCCCAAAUAAAAGGGAGAUAUUUUAAAUCUAUCCAAAUUAGUCAGACAAUUCUGGCAGCCACCAGAGGUCUGGUUUAGUAGCUGUCAUCUCCUGAGUUCUAGAGCAUUGUUUGCUGUGCCUGCCCUGAAACCUGGUGCCUUUUCUGAGCUGUGGGCAGAGAAAUGGCAAUUCUAAUCCAAGGUGAAAAUAGCCCAGCUGAGCAAGCAGAACUUGCAGGGAAAACUUUAUUUAUUUAACUGGCUCUUUGCUCACUUGUUGAACUGGGUUAAUCAUAUUUUCAGAGAACAGCCCCAGCCUCUCUAUAUAUGAUGGCUGCAACAUAUAGCCUGUAUUUCAGCUUGAUUUUGAAAUAUCACCCAGAUGAUUGCUGUUUGCUCUUAAAGCUGUGCUGAAGGAAUAUAAAGGAAGUCAUUAUUCUCGUUCUGUUUAAGCUGGAGAUUUACUCCAUUUCCAUAAACCUAAGAUGACAGCCUCUUUUCAAGAUAAUUCACAUACUGUGCCUUGCAAGCUUCCUGCUUAUGAUAUCUGAAAGGGGAACAGUUAGAAAAAGAAAGGAAAAAGCAAAUAUUUUUCACACAGUAAGUAGAUUUUCCCCCAAAUAUCUGGAAGGGGUGAUGCUGCUCUGAAAUGACUGCUUAGGUUUUGGGGAUUGCUGCCAUAAAGUGAAAUACUAAAUAUUUAAUUAAUAAUUAUUAAUAAUGAGGAGAAAUAGUCCAUUUUAAGUAGCAGUUAUUUUAUAUCAGAGCACUGAUGUGUUGAGUACACAUCCUGUUCAAGCAUGAUUUUGUUAUUUUAGAAAGCAGUUUAUGGAUUCUGUGCUUGGAAGGUGACCUGGGAGUUAACAACUAUUCCAGUUCCCUAGUAAAAACAGGCUUGUGUUAAAGGAAGCUGUCGUUCUGCCCAGGAAAUGUGGGCUCUGCCAGUGGGAAAAGACAGAAAUAGACCUUGCUAUGUGCCACGCUCCUGUCAUAUUUUACCUGGCAAAUUUCUUCUGCAAACACAGUUAUUGUGGCCAUGGUAUAAACCACGAUCCACACAAACACAGAGAACUUUCUGAAGUGGGUUCAGAAGUGGGAUAGAGGUCUUGGGGAGAAAAGCUGGCAGCUUCCAGCAGAGGAAUAUUCUCUAUCAGGUUAUAAUAUUUGCAAGGUACAAACACUCAUGUUGUUUUGCUCUGUAAACCUGAAAAAAAGCAAAACAGAAAUCCUGUGGCACUGCACUGAAAGUGCAGUGUGUGGGUGGGCAUCCCAGUGCUGAGAGUUGGCAGAUAAUUGAGUCAGUCCCUUGAUGACCUUAGCCCCAAAAGCAGGCAUGGAAAAUGGUGAAAAACUGGGAGGGGCAGAGGAGCUUCAUAAGGUGAUGCUAAAUGCACACAAUUCUCAGCAAAAGAGCUUCUAAUAAGAUGCUAGUUUGUUCUUGAGCAGCUGUACAAGCUCUGCCCAUAGCUCAGAGUCAUUCUGGUGCUCCCAGGCAGAGAAGGCAAGGAGCACAUCCACAGGGAGAGCCUCGGGAGAGGCAUGGCAAUGCUCUCCUUCCCAAAAGGGGGAAUCUGGGACCUUCCAGUUACUGCACAGGGACUUGUCUUGUGGGCUUCAGAAGAGGUCUGGAAGGUGAGGGGUGGAUGAGGGCUGACACAAAUAUUCUAGGGGGUAAAAGAGCUCUUGUAUUGCUUUGAUUUAUAGCAUAACUACAUUAGGGAAAUUCUGGGAUUUUCCCUUUCUUUCUCAAUACAGAUGUGUUGCAGUGAGUUUAAAAAGAACACAAAACAUCCAGGUUUCCAAGCUGAGAGAAAUUGGACUUCAUAACAUCUAAGCAUUCUGACUUUAAUGACUUCUUUUAUUAAAUAUAUAUAUGUCUAUGUGUAUAUUUUUAUAUAUGUGUAUAUGUGAAUCCUACAUAUGUCUGUCUGUCUAUCUAUCUAUCUAUCUAUCUAUCUAUCUAUCUAUCUAUCUAUCUAUCUCUUUGUCUAUCUGUCUGUCUGUCUCCAGUCCCGAUGACAUGAGAAACAUUAAUUUUUCUUCCCACUGGAUUUUGCACUCCAGGCUGACUUUGUGGAACGGACUUGUUGGAGUGUAGUAGAACUGUCAGAAUUGGGGGGGUACAGGUUCCAAUGCAUAAAACUGGUUUUUCAUCCUACUUUUUGCAUAUUUUUCAUGCAUUCUUUUCAUAGACAGUGGCAAGAUGUUUAGAGAUGUUAUUUUUAUAUGAGGAAAUGAACAUGAAUUGUUGUCUUAUUUUUUCAAAUUGUUUCAAAGUUCUUUGCAUGUUAUUGGAAAUGAGAGCAAACAUGUUCUGCAGUGCACAGGUGGUGUGAGGGGAAGCUCGCCUCCUCCAGUGUGAAAAUAGACCCUUUUUGUCUCUGUAUCAGACCUGUUGUGGAUGUCAGAAUGGUCUGGCUAAUUGAGAUAGAAUAUAUUUAAAAUAUCUUCCUUGAAUUGGGGACAACAUGCUAAUUUUCUUCUAACAAACUCAUAGUUAACAUCUGACAGGUAUAAAAUUUUCUUUUAUUUGCAUGAGUAUAAGUGAUGGGGCCGUGAUAACCACAGGUUCACAUCUGCCCACAGAUAUGGGCACAGGAGGGAUUCUAAAUUACACCUUAAAAGACAUAUUCACCCCCAGCCUGGGCCAGGACUCUCAGGGAUGAGUGCAUUAAGUGGAUUUUCUGUGCAACAAGAACACAUUAUUGGGUCUUCCUUGUGCAGAGGUGACCAAAAAUGUGACAGAAAAGGUCUCUGGACAUUCUGGGUGCAACCCCACCUCAGAAGCAUUUCUUAGAGCAGCAAGUGAUGCAGCUCCACUUGGAGGUUCUAAUCCAGGCUGGUGGAGCAG